GCUCCGCUAGCUCAAUUGGUAGAGCAUCGCCCUUUUAAGGCGAGGGUUGACGGUUCGAUUCCGUCGCGGGGCA
rnacentral:tRNA from 1 species